rnacentral:rRNA from 1 species
CUUUUGUGGGGUGCUCGAGUGGCGAACGGGUGAGUAACACGUGAGUAACCCGCCCUUGACUUUGGGAUAACUUCAGGAAACUGGGGCUAAUACCGGAUAGGAGCUCCUGCUGCAUGGUGGGGGUUGGAAAGUUUCGGCGGUUGGGGAUGGACUCGCGGCUUAUCAGCUUGUUGGUGGGGUAGUGGCUUACCAAGGCUUUGACGGGUAGCCGGCCUGAGAGGGUGACCGGCCACAUUGGGACUGAGAUACGGCCCAG